AAAUCAGAGCCUACAAGGGUAAAAGAGAGGUAAAAAUUAAUGGUUCUUAAACAAUUUUAGAAAUCAGAAUCACCUACGAAGUUUACAUGGAGCUCUGCCCAGCCUUUGUGAAGCUCAAUUAGUUUAUAAUAGUAGCAGCAAGAAAUGUGAAUUUCCAGAUGAGUACAAAUGGCUGCGAUAUGAAUGAUUCAAGGAAUACAGCUUGUCAAGGUAGCAGAACAUCAAGGCUCAAAAGAUCAUACUCCAAGGGAAAAAAGCAGAGAAGGAAGGCUGUGUUUGACUUUAAAUUCAUGCUCCAAAGAAGACAACAUUUCUUACAUAUUGACAGGAGCCUAGCAUAACUCUCGUCUGAGAGGAUUCACCCAGCAGCUGACUGAAACAGAUGCAGAGAACCACAGAUGUGAUCUUCAUGAAAACACCUUUCCCUAUCAUAAGUUCGAAUUAAAUGAACGAUUUCAAAGAUCUUCUGGCUUUCCAUCUCUUUCUCUACUUGGAUGAGUAGGAGAGACCCUGCUUGUCACUGCUAGACCACCUGGGACUCUUCUUCACUGGCAUGGCCACCUGCAGCUGCUUCCAGAACCUGCCCUGAGGAUACUUGGAUUUCUCCCCUUUCCAUUUAAUGACGGUGCAGAAGUAAUGGGGAAAGACUUGCCAAUUUAUACCUAACAUGUGCAGCUCCGGGACAACCCUAAGCAUUUCCACUGGAUGCUGACCAUGCAUAAGCAUAAGAGGUCCAAAGGCAAAGUGGCCUCAGAAAGAGAUACAAAAGAUCUAAAGGGAACAGACCCUGCAAGAUGCAAGAAUAAUUAUUGCGUUCUUCAAAGGACCUGCAGCACCCUAUGGAAGGCCUUACCCACAUGUAUACUGCAGAUCUUUUCACGCAGUAGUGUUGACAGGAUUCAUGCCAUGGAAUUCGGACUGCAUCUGAUGUAUCUUCUACUCUCACCUCAGGGCGAUGGCCCUGUAGCAGAUGGAGACUGCCUUAUGACUCAAGUGAACAGGGAUGAACAUGUGCUGGUGCCUAGUGUCAGGCAAGAAAUUUCUACUCAGUGUUCUAGAAAAACACCCAAUUAUACAUUAGAAUCUAAAUUGAGAAAGACUUUGAAACUGACUAAAUUAUAUCUAAAUAGAAGUAGAAUUUAGUUAUGUUUAGGUUUAAUAUAUUGAUCUUCCCUAAAUUUGCUUUAAUAAAAUUCAUGAGUCAUGAAAAAUAUAGAUUAUGUGUUUCCUCCCAAGAAUGCUGAAUUAGAUAGACGUUUACGGCCUGGUCUAUUUCCCCUUGUCUAUCAAUAUAGAUUCAAAUGUCUCAUUCAUACCGUCAAGAAAAUUUCUGCCAGAAAUACACGUUAGAAAGACUUUUUUUUAAUUAAUGAGAGCCCAAGGAAAAGAUCAUUUUAAACUCUAAUGUAUACUGGGUCACUUGGGGAUCUUGUUAAAGUGUAAGUUCUGGUUCAGGUUAAGUGUGGUUUUGGUUCUGCAGUUAAAAGGGUUUGGGCUGAUCAUGGUCCACAAGUCUUCCCUUGAGUACAGCAUGUGAACCUACAUCUGGAUGUGGUGGCACCUGGCUGCCAUCCCAGCAUUGAGCACUGAGGUCAGCCUGGGCUAUACAAUGGGACACUGUGUCAAAACACAAAGGAGCAAACAAAGCAAAACAAAAGACCGUGAACUUGAACUCUCCUCUCAGUAACCGAGAAUCACAUGUGUCUGUUGACCAUCGGAAUGCAGCUGUUGGGAUGGAGAUGUGCCACGACUGCAAAGUAACAUUCUGAAUUUUCAGUACUUUCAAUGCCAAAAAGGCUGGAGGAAAGCUCAUUAACCUCUAAAAAUGAUUUCUAUUCCGAGAUAAUAGUGUGGGAAUAUUGAACCAAAUAUUUAUUUUGGAUUGUGCUCUUUGAACCCUUGCGGGUAAAAUUGUUAAUUUCAUGAGUGAUAUACAUCACAUCCUUUUAUAUGGACAAUGCUAAUCUAGAUUAAAUCACAUAUCCAUCAAGGAAGGUGAGCAGUGUGUCUUGGAAAGAUUUAUUCUUACUAGGGAGAGUUGAAAUAAGAGAGAAUGUUAUUAAUUGUCACAGUUCAUCUAUUAAGAAAAUAUGCUUUUGGAAGAAUGUGAUACAGGUGAUCUACACCACAUUUCCAUUACGUACCAAGAAUUGUUUCAUCCGUUCCAAAAUGAGCCCGGUAAAAGAGGACCAUCUCCAGCCAGUAAACGUGGUAGACCACGAUGAGAACCACCACCAGAAAGACUGUGGCUCCAAAACCACAGGCGAGUUCUACUGUGUACCUUGGCGGUAUGACUACAGCAAACGACAAAACAAUAAUGAUGGUGAUAAUUAACUUCUAUUUAGUGAUCACAGUUACCCACCAUAUUCUACAUGGCUGGAUCAGCCAUACAGCUAUGUCAGGUACUUGAUGUACACAUGUUAACCAGCAGAAGCCAUGUGACAAUCGAUUCAGCAACCCACUUCUUUACUCCUUCUUGUUGUUGUUUAUAGAUCCUGUCACUGAAAGUGCUUUAGAUUAUUCAGUGAUUUGAAUAGAUUCUACAUGUAUACAAAAUAAUAUAGGAUCUUAUCAUUGGGAAAGAUUUCCAGGAAGGUUAUCAAAUUAAAUCUAAAAUGGGGCCUUGCACAUGCUAGGCAAGCGCUCUACCACUGAGGAAUGUCUCCAGCCAUAUAUAAACUGGGAUGGCCUGGCUAUGUGUGGCAAACUCACCCUCUUCCUGCCUCAGCCUACUUUGUACUGAGAUUGCAACAAUGUGCCACAGGUCUGGGUCAAUGAGAGCUUUGAAAGUAUUUUAUCCUGUGACCGAUCAUUUUUUGCAGUAUACUCCCAAGAAACAUCCAGAAGAAAAGCCCAUUAUCAAAGAAGGCAACUUGGCAAAGAUAAAAGUCAUGUCUAUUAAUUUUGAUGACAUACUCUUUGUAAUAUCAGUGUCAGAAAAAAUUAAUUCCUUUUGUUAAUUUAAAAAGAAGCUUCAAAACUAGUAUUUUUACUGGGUAAAAAAAAAUGGGCAAAUCUUCUUAACGGCGAGUGUUAUUUGGUUCGAGUAUUUCCCAAGUUCACAGUUCUAUGACAAACAGUGUAAAGACCUACUUUCACUAUCUGAGCUUCGACUGUUUCUUCAUUAUCUAAUUAUUCUUUUACAUGGUGGGUAUCACAGAGAGGCUUUAUGGAAGUAACAGAGACCGAAUGGGGCAAUUCCCAAUUUAUUAAAAACUGUGUAUUAAUUCAGAUGCCCUCUCAACACUGCCUUCUGUUCUACUAACAAAGUUUCCAGGCACUGCCCACUGCAUCUACACCCCCUUUCUCUUGAAGGUAUUAGGGAAAAUAAGCAUCAGACUAUAACUAGAAUAAGACUUCUGACCAGAGUACGUCUUUCCUUUCUUUAUUUCCCAAGUUCGUCUCCAUGUUUUCAUUUUCUAUCAUCUUUAACCAAUAAAGCUGUUCUUUUUAGCCCAAGCUUUGUGCAUACAAAUGUCUACUCUUCUUUUUAUGGUUUUAUUUCAGUAGUUAUCAAACUGUAGUUAGUCAAUCGGUCUGCUUCCCAACUCCUUCUCACUCUCAGCUAAGCUGGAUCUUCCUACCCUUGCAUGUGGAAACCUUUUUGGUCCACCCUAUCUCCAGGUCACUUGGGAUCUCAGUGAACUUUUCCAGUAACAGCAUAUUACUCUGUUUGUUUUUCACUCAUUGGGUUAACCAAAGCAGCCCAGUGUUACAAUCGAUGGCGGAAACAUCAUUCACUCGCGAUUUUGGCUGAGGCGCUGCAGCUGAAGAAUCUGAGAAAGAUGUGUUUGCUUGGAUAGGAAGCAGGAGUUAGUAUUGGUUGGUUUGCUAAUGACUUCCUUGGCAUGUAUAUGACAGGAGCUUGGGAGACAGAACCAUGAGGAGACAGGAAGGGCUAAAAAUCUAAUGCAGGGAAGUAAAGAAGUAAGGGAGUAAUUCAUUUGGUUAAUUUAAAAAUUCCUACUGGUGCUUUUUCAAAGCGGAUGGUGUGAUGGGCUGAAUAUGGAGUAAGACUGUGGUAGGCGGGCUCUAAUAGUCGCGAGGCAGCAUAGAGAAAGCUGCUGUAAGCAUCCGAGCAGUGUAGGUCCCAAGUGUCUGCUAGGACAAGGUGUGGGAGAAUCUUCUCCAGGGCUAGACUGCUUUCCAGGUUCUCGAAAAGUAUACAUAUCUUUGAGUAAUGCAGUCAUGGUGUUAGAUUAUUGAUCAUAGGCUGGAGGGAUGGGCACGACCUUUAAGACAAUAUUUCAUCCCAAUGCAAACAUGGUAUGCAUCCUGGAGCUGAGUCCAAACUUCUCAAACUUAGAGAUGAAUCUUUAACUUUCAAGUUCAUUGACCUGACUCCAGUGUAUCACAUAUCUAGUAGAGGGAAUACUCUGGAACUGGCCAGUAGAGUGUUGUUACUAGCAUGCUCCCAUGCUGGCCUUAAGAUAAGGACUUUUUUUUAAAUGUGUGUUUUUCCAAAUGUCAAUAGAGGUCUUGCUUAAUGACCAAAAGAUCAAUUACCCCAUCAAUUUCUCUCUGGCAUCACGUAUUUCUAUUGCCUCUUUUAUUUUACUUGGGUUUUCCAACUUUGUUCUGUAUUACCAUUGAUGUGGUUCAUAUUUACAGACUGUGUUUUCUAUAGUCGUUUUGCUAAUGAACAUUCCCUAAUACCACAUAAUAACUGGCCCCUAAAAGAAAUAAUCCACUGAGCUUCCUGUUUUAAAUGGCUGGAGCUGUGCACAGGCUGUGUUCUACAGGGCUGUCUUGUAAAACAGAGUGACCUUACAGGGAAGUGACCCUUGGUCUAUACUUUGUGUCCUUCCUGCUCCGGGUCUUGGCAUUCGGCACAAUGAUCGUACACUGAUGCAAUUUCAGACAAAAAAGUUUAAAAACAGAAAGGAAUGAUGCAAUCUGCCCACGCUGGACUCCCGCUCUCAUCGAUUCCACUAAAGUCUCAAUGAGAAUGUAGCCAAAUGCCGACAUUUGCUUAUUUUUACUCUCCAAAUGAAAAUUCACUUUGGUGUUCUGUAUUAGUAAUUGUCUCUAAAGUCCGUAUGCCCAGUCAGCAAUUGUUGUGAAAAGAAUGCACAACCCCGAGCUAGCCCUGUCCCCUGUCGGGUUCUGGCUCUACAAUCAUCUUUGUCCUUGGCAACCCAAGUUAUUUAUCUUCACUGUUGCAGUUGGCUUAUAAUCUACUGAGUUUCCCCUCCACAUGGCAGCAGCCAGGACUUUCAAAUGUCCCCUGUUGUAGAGCCCAGAGCUAAUCAGUACUAAAUUCACCAUGCAUUUGAAAAUUGUGAUGACCAUUGUCUGAAAUGUUAACAAAAGAGUGCUUGAUUAAAAUGAAAUCAAAACAGAGAACUCUGAAUUGUCCUGAAAAAUUGAUGGGUGUGACAACCUCUGACCUUACUGUUGGUAAUAGACGUAACUGAUGUGGAACUGAAGUCACUCCAGUAUCUAAAAUAAUAUUGAUUUGCUUUUCACAUUGGAGAACUGGUAAGAGUAAGAUAAGCCCAUGAUUAUUGCAUCUUUUUCUUUCUAAAAAUUACCAAAGGUAUAUUUAGAUAUUUAGGUUCAGAAAAGAAAGUCAGUCAUGAGAGUGUUUAAUUUUUGCUAUGACCUAUAGUGAGAGAUGAGAGUAGAGACUACUAUGUUGAAGUUAACAUUCUCACAAAAUAUAGCAGGCUCAGAAUAAUGACAAAACACAGGAUAGGAAAAAAAAUAAAAGCAUCAAUAUCCAAAAGAAAUAGCAAGUAAAAAUAAGAUUCAGACUUGUCAGGGAUGAUUUAACAACUAGGGAAGCACUUUAAAAUUCACAUUAAAAUGUGUCUGUGGAGGCUUUUAAAAAUGAACACUGUGAAGAGUAAACAGGAAGGAUCAAUGGAGACAUUCAAGUAGAAGAUGUGUUCGUCAAAAUAGUAUGAAUCAUAUAGGACAAAAUGAGUCACCUAGUCUCUGUAGGUUCUGAAAAGAUUGUAAGGAAAUAAUAAACACAAUCUAUGACCGUAUCUCCCAGUGGAGAAAGAGGGUGCAUCCUUGAAAAUAAGCAGAAAACUGACACGUGAAAGCUUUGUCUAAAAGAAAAA